rnacentral:rRNA from 1 species
GCCAGACUCCUACGGGAGGCAGCAGUGGGGAAUAUUGCACAAUGGGGGAAACCCUGAUGCAGCGACGCCGCGUGAGUGAAGAAGUAUUUCGGUAUGUAAAGCUCUAUCAGCAGGGAAGAAAAUGACGGUACCUGAUUAAGAAGCCCCGGCUAACUACGUGCCAGCAGCCGCGGUAAUACGUAGGGGGCAAGCGUUAUCCGGAUUUACUGGGUGUAAAGGGAGCGUAGACGGCAAUGCAAGUCUGGAGUGAAAGCCCAGGGCCCAACCAUGGGACUGCUCUGGAAACUGUGUAGCUUGAGUGCAGGAGGGGUAAGCGGAAUUCCUAGUGUAGCGGUGAAAUGCGUAGAUAUUAGGAGGAACACCGGUGGCGAAGGCGGCUUACUGGACUGCAACUGACGUUGAGGCUCGAAGGCGUGGGGAGCAAACAGGAUUAGAUACCCCGGUA